CUACGGGACGCUCCAGUGAGGAAUUUUGCGCAAUGGGCGAAAGCCUGACGCAGCAACGCCGCGUGAGUGAUGAAGGCCUUCGGGUCGUAAAGCUCUGUCAAGUGGGAAGAACCUAUGUAAUGUUAAUAUCAUUAUAUACUGACGGUACCACUGAAGGAAGCACCGGCUAACUCCGUGCCAGCAGCCGCGGUAAUACGGGGGGUGCAAGCGUUAUUCGGAAUCAUUGGGCGUAAAGGGCACGUAGGCGGCCUGGUAAGUCAGAUGUGAAAGCCCGGGGCUUAACCCCGGAAGUGCAUUUGAUACUGUCAGGCUUGAGUAUGGGAGAGGGAAGUGGAAUUCCUGGUGUAGAGGUGAAAUUCGUAGAUAUCAGGAGGAACACCGGUGGCGAAGGCGACUUCCUGGACCAAUACUGACGCUGAGGUGCGAAGGCGUGGGUAGCAAACAGGAUUAGAUACUCUAGUAGUC
rnacentral:rRNA from 1 species